UAAACCUUUGAUAUUUGACAAACUUUCCAAAAUCAAAUUACAAAUUAUGUAUUUUUCUGACCUAAUUAAUCCUCUAAGAUAUUAGGUUCCCUAAAGUCCAAAAAUGACAUAAUUUGGCUUAUUUGGUAUAAAAAUUAUACAGGAAGCAUUGUCAAAUAUGAAAUGGUGUUUGGUUUUCUUUGGGCUGUGAUUGUAUAAAUAUGUUAUUGGUAUGUGUUUCAAAAUUAUGAGAAACUUCUAUAAUUAUGAUAUGACUUAGUGUAUGUUAUUAGUAAUAAUUAUAAUCGUUAUGUUAAAUUUUUGUAUACUACAGAGGUAACAAAUUUCCUUGUCAAUUGUGUCUUUGACUAUGGCUGCCCUAAAACUUUUUGUCAUCCAUGGACAAUUGUUGUCUUGUUUUUGUCCUCUUUAGAAAGUGGUUUUAUAAUCAGCUAUAAAACUCUAACAGGUGCUUCUGAACACAGGUUUCUGAUAACUUUGGAGAUUGUGACAUCAGAAUAGGGAAAAAACUUUCAGGACUCAUGGAGAGCUGAAAUGUUCAUGAAUAUCAAGCAGAACAGGAAUUAACAGCAUGGACUGAACUAACAGAAGAUUGAAGUAAUCUUUUUGACUUUUGGUUUAAAAUGUUGCUGAUCAUUUGUUUUUUUGUCAGAGUCAAGAAAACUUUUCUUUUGAGUUAUUGACAGCUUUUAAGAAGUUAGUAUACUCCUAUGAACAAAAUUUGGAGCAUAUUUUUUUCUCUCUACCUGAUUUCUCCAGAAUUUGGAAACUAUUUGUGAGUAGUCUUAACUUAUGGCAAUACAGGUAUUUGAAUAAGUCUAAUAAGAAGCUGUUUUCCUUUGUAAUAGGACACAACUGGAGAACCUGGUUAUUUUACCAAGACUUUGACUGGAAUGGUGUGCUUUCCUUUAAGGAACUGAACUUGACUUAUGGAGCCAAUAAAAGCCCCUUGGGAAAACUGGCCUCAUACCUUGUUUACACAGUCCUUGUACAGGGUUCCUGACCGGUGGUAAGUAAAGAAUCUCACUUUCUGACAGGCCCAGGAGCCCCAAGUUUUAUGUUGGGACCUCAAGAGGAGAGGAAUUGACCCAACUCAUAGGUAUUUGAUGGUACAAAUCCAUGGCUGGGUUGGGUUUUUACAAAGUCUUAUCUGAGAUUCCUUCUAUGGAACAAAGUUCCAUUAAAGCCAAUAUAAAAGCCUAUGUAAAAAAUAAUUAUUCUUGCAGCACUGUAUACAAAUAACUGGGCCAAGUAUAAUAAAGCAAAUCUGUCCUACCAUGAUGUGUCUUUAGUAAAAAUAGGAAACUGGAGAAAAAUUAUGUUUCAAAAACUAUAGUAUACCUGUUGUUAGAUUCUAGUCUUGUCUAAUGUUUUUCAAUUUUUAUUAUUUUCUACAAUUUGGACUGAAUUCUAAUUUUUCUUGGCUACAAGUCUUCAAAAUAAUGUUAAUAUUUUUUCCUUUUUUUCCUCACUUUUCUUAAUUUGGAGUCACAAAAACUAAGCUGUGCUUUCAUAAAGCCCUGUGAACUGAAGCUAGACAACUUAAACUUCAGAAGAAAAUAAUGGUAACCUAUUUACAUACAUAAGCCACUUUCAUACCUGCCUACUGAUGGAUCGACUUCACAGUAAUGUGGCCUAUAUUGAUUUUCCAAGAUUGUUCUUUUGUCUGUUGUUGUUUUUCUCCCUUCUCCCCCUAUUUUCUCUUCAUAGGACAUGAGACUUAACAACCUGCUAAAAAUGAGCUUUCCUAACAACUUGGGACCUACCUGUCUAGGAAUAAACCAUUAUAGCCAUGACAGAUCAGAUGAAACCUGAGAUCAGAGACUCAUUUUCUUCUAAAAUGCUUUCUCCAAAAGAUUUUAAAAAAGAAAAGGGGGAGUAUGUCAAAGGAAAAUCAGUCUUGGGGCCUCCAAAUCACUGAGCUAAAGGGAAAAGUCAAACUGGGAACUGUUUAGGACCAACUUGCCUCCCAUUCUAUUCAAAGACACCCCUCUGCUUACUGAGAUAAAUGCAUAUCUGAUUACCUCCUUUGGAGAGGCUAAUCAGAAACUCAAAAGAAUGCAACCGUUUGUCUCUUAUCUACCUAUGACCUAGAAGCCCCCUCUCUGCUUCGAGUUGUCCUGCCUCUGCUUCAAGUUGUCCUGACUUCCUGGACCAAACCAAUUUUCAUCCUACAUAUGUUGACUGAUGUUUCAUGUCUCCCUAAAAUGUAUAAAACCAAACUGUGCUCUGACCAUAACUCCUCAGAACUUGCUAAGACUGUGUCAUGGGCACACAACCUCAACUUUGGCAAGAUAAACUUUCUAAAUUAGCUGAGACCUGUCUCAGAUAUUUGGGGUUCAUGAAGGCUACUAUGAACAUCUUUACACACACAAACUAGAAAAUCUAUAAGAAGUGAAUACAUUCCUGAAAAUAUACAACCCUCCUAGAUUAAUUCAGGAAGAAAUAGAAACCCUGAAAAGACAAAUAACAAGCAGCAAGAUUGAAUAAGUAUUAAAAAAUGCCAACAAAAAUGUCCAGGACUAGAUGGAUUUACAGCUGAAUUCCACCAGACAUUCAAAGAAGAAUUGGUACCAAUCCUACUGAAACUAUUCCAAAUGAUAGAGAAAGAGGGAAUCUUCCCUACAUCAUUCGAUGAGGCCAGCAUCACCCUAAUACCAAGACCAGCAAAGGACAUGUCAAAAAAAGAAAACUACAGACCGAUAUUCCUGAUGAACACAGAUGCAAAAAUCCUCAACAAAAUACUAGUGAACUAAAUCCAACAGCAUAUCACAAAGAUAAUGCAUCAUGAUCAAGUGGUUUCAUACCAGGAAUGCAGGAAUGGUUUAACAUAUGCAAGUCAAGUCAAUAAGUGUGAUAUAUUACAUAAACAGAAUUAAAAACAAAAACCAUAUGAUCAUCUCAAUAGAUGCAGAAAAAUAAUUUGAUAAAAUCUAGCAUGACUUUUUGAAAAAAACCCUCAACAAAACAGGCAUAGAAGGGACUUACUUUAAAGUAAUAAAAGCCAUAUCUGACAAACCCACAGCCAAUGUCACACUAAACUGGGAAAAGUUGAAAGCAUUCUCCCUGAGAACAGGAACAAGACAAGGAUGCUGACUUUCACCACUUCUAUUCAACUUAGUACUGGAAGUCCUAACCAGAGCAAUCAGACAAGAGAAAGAAAUGAAAGGAAUCCAAAUCAGAAAAAAGGAUGUCAAACCAUCGCUGUUCACAGAUUAUAUGAUUGUAUAGCUAGAAAACCCUAAAGACUCAUCCAAAAAGCUCCUAGAUCCAAUAAACAAAUUCAGUAAAGUCUCAGGAUACAAAAUCAAUGUACAAAAAUCAGUAACACUGGAAUACACCAAAAAUGACCAAGCUGAGAAUCAAAUCAAGAACAACAGCUGCAAUAAAAAGAAAACCUUAGGAAUACACUUAACUAAGGAGGUGAAAGAUCUCUACCAAAAAAACCCUACAAAACACUGCUGAAAGAAAGAUAAGUGAAAUAAACAAAUGGAAAUAAGUUCCAUGGCCAUAGAUGGGAAGAAUCAACAUUGUGAAAAUGACUGUACUGCUCAAAGCAAUCUACAGAUUCAAUGCAAUUCCCAUCAAAAUACCAUAAUUCUUCACAGAACUAGAAAAAACAAUCCUAAAUUCAUAUGGAAGCAAAAAAGAUCCCACAUAGCCAAAGAAAUACUAAGCUGAAAGUACAAAUAUAAAGGCUUCACAUUACCCAACUUCAAGUUAUACUACAAGGUUACAGUUAUCAAAACCGCGGGGUACUGGUAUAAAAAUAGGCACAUAGACCAAUGGAACAGAAAUAGAGAACCUAGAAAUAAAGCCAAAUACUUGGAGCCAACUGAUCUUUGACAAGGCAUACAAAAACAUACAUUGGGAAAAGGACACCCUAUUCAAUAAAUGGUGCUGGGAAAACUGGCAAGCCACAUGUAGAGGAAUAAAACUGGAUCUCCAUCUGUCACCUUAUACAAAAAUCAACUCAAGAUGAAUCAAAGAGUUAAAUCUAAGAUCUGAAAUCAUAAAAAUUCUAGAAGAUAACAUCAAAAAUACUCUUCUGGACAUUGGCUUAGGCAAAGAAUUCAUAAUUAAGUACCCAAAAGCAAAUGCAACAAAACAAAAAUAAAUUGCUUCUUCAUAGCAAAAGAAAUUACAGAGUAAACAGACAACCCACAGAGCGGGAGAAAAUAUUCACAAACUAUGCAUCCAACAAAGGUCUAGAAUCCAGAACCUACAAGGAACUCAAAUCAGCAAGAAAAAAACAAAUAAUCCCAUGAAAAAGUGGGCAAAGGUCAUGAACAGACACUUCUCAAAAGAAGAUAUACAAAUGGCCAACAAACACAUGAAAAACUGUUCAACAUCACUAAUUCUCAUGGAAAUGCAAAUCAAAACCACAGUGAGACACCAGCUUACUCCUGCAAGAAUGGCCAUAAUUAAAAUGUCAAAGAACAAUAGAUGUUGGUGUGGAUGUGGUGAAAGGAAACACUUUUACACUGCUGAUGGGAAUAUAAAUUAGUACAACCACUACAGAAAACAGUAUGUGGAUUCCUUAAAGAACUAAAAGUAGAUCUACCAUUUAGUCCAGCAAUCCUGCUACUGGGUAUCUAGGAAAGGAAAAUAAGUCAUUACAUAAAAAAGACAGCUACAUGCAUAUAUUUAUUACAGCACAAUUCGCAAUGGCAAAGAUAUGGAAGCAACAUAAGCGCCCAUCAAUUAAUCAAUGGGGAGACUGUGGCUCAAUGAGGUCAAACAAUUUGCAGUCAGGGAGUAGGGAUGCUUUGAAUAUGGCCAUCAUCUCACUGGCUCACUGUGGGGGAGUGAUGCCAGGAGGACUUCUGUUCCACCAUCUUGCUGAUGUUACUCUCCCUCACUAAAACAUUGUGUGUGCAACUAGGGUCAUCUGGGCAGCUGAAAAAAAAAGUCAAAGAAAAACUAAGGCCUUCCUUUCCUAUCACCCAUCAAUGUUGGCAGAGAUGGAAAAAACAGGCACCGUUUAGGUGCUGGGAAUGGAGCAGUGAACCACACUGACAACAACUCCCUGCCUUCAUAGAACCUGCCUUCUAGAAAGGGAAGACAGAGCAAAAAAAAAAUAAACUGGAUCAAAGCUAUACUCAACUUCAAGAUGACUGUUCACUGAGAAAUGUGAAAUUAAUAUGAAAUAUGAAAGAAAACUCUUACUAUGUAAAUGAAUCACAGAAUCCAAGAAAGAUGUGCCGGAUGGGAACUAGAGGUCAUCUAGAUUGCAUUCUGUCUAAUCAGAUCAUAUGAAGAUUAGUGUAACAGCCUGGACCCUUUGUCAUUAAAGCUAUUUGACAGAAAGCACCUCAGUGGUUCAUGACUUCCAAGCAAAAUG
rnacentral:lncRNA from 1 species